GCCGGGCCGGUCCGGUUUUCUCUUUUUUUUUCCUUUUCCUUUUCCUUUUUUUUUCUUUUUCUGUUUUUCCUUUGUAACUUUUGAUUUUGAACUCCAAAUUGAUCCAAAUAAAUUUCGGAAAAUUUAUAAAGUAAUGUUUUAUCAUGAUUCAACUUUUGGGAGGAAUUUCCACUCAAAAUAAAAUAUAUAAAAAUACAUUUUCCCUAUAAAUGCCUUUAGGGCUAUAUAACUAUUUAAGUAAAAUAGUUUUUCCACUCCAAAUAAAUAUCAAAAAUUAUGCAAUAAACCGUAUUUAUAGAUAAACCCUAUUGGUUUGAAGAUCCAAAGCUCAAAUGGGUGACACCCUAGCGUUUAAAAUGAAAUGAAACCUUUUUAAAGCGUUUUGAAAUUCAAAUUUGAAUUCAAAUAUGCAAAUGUGGCAUGAUGCUCAUGGAUGCAAUGCAUAUGAAAGGUUUUGAAAAUUUGGGAUUUUAGAAUUGUAUAACCUCAUGGGUUAUCUCCAAAGAAAAUAAAAUCUUGCAGCGGAAGGCAGAAAAUACAGGAGUCCCAUAAUAACUCCACCCAGGAUGAUUCGUUAAAAUUGUUUUGCCAGGUUUCUAAAAUGCUCCACAUUAUCUGUCUCAUGGUAAUUGAGAUUCCCUCCCACGUAUGCUAACAUAGCAUAGCAAAACAACUACUUGCGAUGGCAAUCGGUAGAAAUGUAAUGCAGGGGUAAUCUAUACUAUUAGGAGUUCAUAGCUAG
rnacentral:lncRNA from 1 species